UUUAAAUGUUGCCAGCCUGGCAGAGUGGUAGACCAACUUCAGUCUCUGGAAGGGACCACACAGGUUUUGUUGAUUCAAUCAGUAACACAGAAGGAAAAUAACUACUUCCUACCUGUCUUGAGAAUAAGUUUUGAAAAAAAUCUAGUUAACAUGGAGGCCAGCUACUGAACAAGGACAUUUUAUCCUUCCAAUGAGGGAGGAUUAAGGAUAAGUACACAGAAGUACUGCCAAUGCUUUACAUGACUUUUUUUUGACCUGUUUUUAUUUUUUCCCAUUGUUUUCAGGUAUCAGUACCCUAAGACCUGCAAUUUACAGAGCAAGAAAAGGACAGAUUGAGUUAAUAAGAGUGAAGGUUAAAUUAACAUAACUAGUCACUGAAUGGAGCUACCUGAAAAUUCACAACUGCCGGAGAACUUCGUGCUGUCAGAGGAAAAGGACAGACAUUUCAACAGUCCAUUUCUGGCUCUUGGUCUCACCUCUGGGGAGCGAAAUACCUCCAGGGAAUAUUAUAAACUCUUCUGGUCAAGGUCCCUGUCUUUAUGGUGAGUGGUACGACGUGAUUUAAAUAAAGGCCCGCUUGUAUUCAAUGAGGUUAAAGAAGUUCCGAGAUCGCACCCAAGAAAACAAUUAUCCAAAGAUGAUGUGUCUUUGCUCAGAUUUCAUACCGCCAUGGAUGAGUGCUGUCUGUAACAGGGAGAAGAAAACUGUUGCGUCUAAGUCGAGAAAGAAUGCUUAGGGUGAGAGACGUGCCUCUGGAGAGGUGCAGAGAAAUGCAGCAGCAGACAGGGAGGGAGAGAGAGAGAACUGCAGCACAAGAUAGGCCCUGCCUUGCACCUGUCAUUACUGUCUGUCUGCUCCCAGCGUGCCUGAAUUAACUGUCAUAGGAUGCUGUCUUGAAUGGAUGGGCAUACGCCGAGGAUUUGAAACCUGUCACCUUUGUGUGGUCUUUGUUCCUUCUGCCAAAUGGCAAGGCUUUCAGCAGG